rnacentral:rRNA from 1 species
CCUACGGAGGGCAGCAGUGAGGAAUAUUGGUCAAUGGGCGCGAGCCUGAACCAGCCAAGUAGCGUGAAGGAUUACUGCCCUACGGGUUGUAAACUUCUUUUAUCAAGGAAUAAAGUGAGGCACGUGUGCCUUUUUGUAUGUACUUUAGGAAUAAGGAUAGGCUAACUCCGUGCCAGCAGCCGCUGUACGACGGAGGAUCCGAGCGUUAUCCGGAUUUAUUUGGUUUAAAGUGAGCGUAGAUGGGUUGUUAAGUCAGUUGUGAAAGUUUGCGGCUCAACCGUAAAAGUGCAGUUGAAACUGGCAGUCUGGAGUACAGUAGAGGUGAGCGGAAUUCGUGGUGUAGCGGUGAAAUGCUUAGAUAUCACGAAGAACUCCGAUUGCGAAGGCAGUUCACUGGACUGCAACUGACACUGAGGCUCGAAAGUGUGGGUAUCAAACAGGAUUAGAUACCCUGGUAGUC